rnacentral:tRNA from 1 species
GCCGCCGUAGCUCAGCUGGCAGAGCGCCGGACUCAUACGGUCGGCCGGUCCGCUCCGAGGCCGCCUGGGAGAUCCGGAGGUCCCGGGUUCAAAUCCCGGCGGCGGCA